rnacentral:rRNA from 1 species
GAUGAACGCUGGCGGCGUGCUUAACACAUGCAAGUCGAACGAAGCAUCCCUCCCGAUGAAUGGAACAGCUUGCUGGGAAAGGAAUCAACUGGGAUGACUGAGUGGCGGACGGGUGAGUAACGCGUGGGUAACCUGCCCCAUAGAGGGGGACAACAGCCGGAAACGGCUGCUAAUACCGCAUAAAAAGGAGAGGGCGCAUGCUCUCAUCUUCAAAGAUUUAUCGCUAUGGGAUGGACCCGCGUCAGAUUAGCUUGUUGGUAAGGUAACGGCUUACCAAGGCGACGAUCAGUAGCCGGCUUGAGAGAGUGAACGGCCACAUUGGGACUGAGACACGGCCCAGACUCCUACGGGAGGCAGCAGUGGGGAAUAUUGCACAAUGGGGGAAACCCUGAUGCAGCGACGCCGCGUGAGUGAAGAAGUAUUUCGGUAUGUAAAGCUCUAUCAGCAGGGAAGAUAAUGACGGUACCUGACUAAGAAGCCCCGGCUAACUACGUGCCAGCCGCCGCGGUAAAAC